rnacentral:rRNA from 1 species
GAUGAACGCUGGCGGCGUGCCUAAUACAUGCAAGUCGAGCGAACAGACGAGGAGCUUGCUCCUCUGACGUUAGCGGCGGACGGGUGAGUAACACGUGGAUAACCUACCUAUAAGACUGGGAUAACUUCGGGAAACCGGAGCUAAUACCGGAUAAUAUAUUGAACCGCAUGGUUCAACAGUGAAAGACGGUUUUGCUGUCACUUAUAGAUGGAUCCGCGCCGCAUUAGCUAGUUGGUAAGGUAACGGCUUACCAAGGCAACGAUGCGUAGCCGACCUGAGAGGGUGAUCGGCCACUCUGGAACUGAGACACGGUCCAGACUCCUACGGGAGGCAGCAGUAGGGAAUCUUCCGCAAAGGGCGAAAGCCUGACGGAGCAACGCCGCGUGAGUGAUGAAGGUCUUCGGAUCGUAAAACUCUGUUAUUAGGGAAGAACAAAUGUGUAAGUAACUAUGCACGUCUUGACGGUACCUAAUCAGAAAGCCACGGCUAACUACGUG